GACGAACGCUGGCGGCGUGCCUAAUACAUGCAAGUCGAACGCAGUGGGGACGGGUGAGUAACACGUGGGUAACCUCCCAUCAGAGGGGAUAACACUUGGAAACAGGUGCUAAACCGAUACUGAUGGAUGGACCCGCGGUGCAUUAGCUAGUUGGUGAGGUAACGGCUCACCAAGGCCACGAUGCAUAGCCGAUCUGAGAGGAUGAUCAGCCACACUGGGACUGAGACACGGCCCAGACUCCUACGGGAGGCAGCAGUGGGGAAUAUUCGGCAAUGGACGAAAGCCUGAUCCAGCAACGCCGCGUGAGUGAAGAAGGUCUUCGGAUCGUAAAACUCUUUUAGUAGAGAAGCGGUACCUAACGAGUAAGCACCGGCUAACUACGUGCCAGCAGCCGCGGUAAUAC
rnacentral:rRNA from 1 species